ACUACACCUGUUGUAUUCAGCAUUUCACUGUGAGGUCUACUACACCUGUUGUAUUCAGCAUUUCACUGUGAGGUCUACUACACCUGUUGUAUUCAGCAUUUCACUGUAAGGUCUACUACACCUGUUGUAUUCAGCAUUUCACUGUAAGGUCUACUACACCUGUUGUAUUCGGCAUUUCACUGUGAGGUCUACUACACCUGUUGUAUUCGGCAUUUCACUGUGAGGUCUACUACACCUGUUGUAUUCAGCAUUUCACUGUAAGGUCUACUACACCUGUUGUAUUCAGCAUUUCACUGUGAGGUCUACUACACCUGUUGUAUUCAGCAUUUCACUGUGAGGUCUACUACACCUGUUGUAUUCAGCAUUUCACUGUGAGGUCUACUACACCUGUUGUAUUCAGCAUUUCACUGUAAGGUCUACUACACCUGUUGUAUUCAGCAUUUCACUGUGAGGUCUACUACACCUGUUGUAUUCAGCAUUUCACUGUGAGGUCUACUACACCUGUUGUAUUCAGCAUUUCACUGUGAGGUCUACUACACCUGUAGUAUUCAGCAUUUCACUGUGAGGUCUACUACACCUGUUGUAUUCAGCAUUUCACUGUGAGGUCUACUACACCUGUAGUAUUCAGCAUUUCACUGUGAGGUCUACUACACCUGUUGUAUUCAGCAUUUCACUGUGAGGUCUACUACACCUGUUGUAUUCAGCAUUUCACUGUGAGGUCUACUACACCUGUUGUAUUCAGCAUUUCACUGUGAGGUCUACUACACCUGUUGUAUUCAGCAUUUCACUGUGAGGUCUACUACACCUGUUGUAUUCAGCAUUUCACUGUAAGGUCUACUACACCUGUUGUAUUCAGCAUUUCACUGUAAGGUCUACUACACCUGUUGUAUUCGGCAUUUCACUGUGAGGUCUACUACACCUGUUGUAUUCAGCAUUUCACUGUAAGGUCUACUACACCUGUUGUAUUCAGCAUUUCACUGUAAGGUCUACUACACCUGUUGUAUUCGGCAUUUCACUGUGAGGUCUACUACACCUGUUGUAUUCAGCAUUUCACUGUGAGGUCUACUACACCUGUUGUAUUCAGCAUUUCACUGUAAGGUCUACUACACCUGUUGUAUUCAGCAUUUCACUGUAAGGUCUACUACACCUGUUGUAUUCAGCAUUUCACUGUAAGGUCUACUACACCUGUUGUAUUCAGCAUUUCACUGUGAGGUCUACUACACCUGUUGUAUUCAGCAUUUCACUGUGAGGUCUACUACACCUGUUGUAUUCAGCAUUUCACUGUAAGGUCUACUACACCUGUUGUAUUCAGCAUUUCACUGUAAGGUCUACUACACCUGUUGUAUUCAGCAUUUCACUGUAAGGUCUACUACACCUGUUGUAUUCAGCAUUUCACUGUAAGGUCUACUACACCUGUUGUAUUCGGCAUUUCACUGUAAGGUCUACUACACCUGUUUUAUUCAGCAUUUCACUGUGAGGUCUACUACACCUGUUGUAUUCAGCAUUUCACUGUGAGGUCUACUACACCUGUUGUAUUCAGCAUUUCACUGUAAGGUCUACUACACCUGUUGUAUUCAGCAUUUCACUGUAAGGUCUACUACACCUGUUGUAUUCAGCAUUUCACUGUAAGGUCUACUACACCUGUUGUAUUCAGCAUUUCACUGUAAGGUCUACUACACCUGUUGUA